CCCAAAAUGACUUGUUUUGUCAAAUCUUCACAAAUAAUUGUUUCUUUGUCUAAAAGGGUAUAUAAACAGCCUGCUUGAGCAUCAUAUUGUUAUGAUCUCCCAUACAUACAGAUUAAAUUGUUUUUCUCCUAUUAAUGUCUUGUGUUAAUUUUAUGAUUAGUCCAGCUGCAAGAACUCAAGAGGAGUAAGGGGAAAAUUUCUCCCUCCUCAUCAGUUUUUGAAAGAAAGCCAGUGGAAUCACUGCUUGGAAAACUUCUUUCCCCUGGGACUACUGAAGAGGAAGAGAUCCUGGGAUGUCUGAGAGAAGCUGGGAGAAGAUUUAAGGGAAAUUUUUUUUUCUCUUAAGCUACCUAUGACUUAGAGCAAUUUGGUAAAGAAUGCUUUUGUGAACAAAGAUAAAACAAUUACUUUUUGUCCCUGCCUGAUUCCUCCAGAAUUCAGAAACUCUCAGUGAGUAUUCUUAGUUUCAUGGCAAUGUAGUUGUUUUCCAAGGGUUCAUUUAGAAUCUGUUCUUGUAACAGGAUACAAUUGAAAACAUUGGUUAUGUUACCAAGUCUUUCACUAUAAUGUCGUAUUUAAGAACGAUACACAUAGACUUGGAUAUGACAAGACAGCUUUUAGGAACUAAGGUUAAUUUUAUGGAGCCAAUGAAGCCCCUUGGAAAUAUCGGCCUGAUUCCUUGCUUACAAGGUUCUCAGAAGCCUAACCAGGUGAGUAGGCAAGGUCACUUCUUGGCAGAUGCAGAAACCUCAGGAUAUUUGGGAACUUUGAGAAGAGAGGAAUUCACCCAAAUAUAUAGGUAUUAUUGGCAAAGUCUGAUGGUGAUUCCUUGGCUUGGCUUCUUAGCCUUGACAAGUUUUCAAAAGUUCAAUCUGAUACUCCUUUUGAAAAAUUCCAGCAAAGCAGAUUUAAAAGAGCCUAUAUGGUCGAUGGUUAUUCUUACUGCACUUAUGCAAAUAAUCAGGCCAAGUUUAUUGAUGCUAGACUUAUUCUGCAAACAGGUGAGUCUUAAUUUGGCUAUCUUUGGUAGAAAUGAGGGUGAUUUUAGAAAGAAAAAUUAUAUUUCAGUAGAACGUAUAACACAUACUUGUGGAUCUUAGAUUCUAGCAUUGUUCAUUGUCUGAGAUUUUGGAGUGGAUCCUGAGUGCUCCUAGUUUCCUCCUAUCUGGCUACCACUCCCCAAGCUAACAUUUCCAAUUUUCUUUCACCUUUUUGACUUGGAAUCACUAAGAACAAAACCUGUCCUUUUUACUCAAAACCCUGCAAACUGAAUAUGAAUGGCUUGAGAUAAACCAGAGAAAUUGCCAGAAUAGCUCAUGUUAAUACAAUCUUCAUGCCUGUUGCUAUAUGGGCCAUUCUGAAAGCUUGCUGGUACAUUCAGUGACAUCAUCAGAGACAUUCAAACUGCAAACCAGGAAAAUCUGUCAGAUUGUCACGGCCUGCCCUCACUCCAUCUGAAGAUGCUUCGAGUCUGAUAUCCAGAAAUCUUCUCGACUGUCUACCCUCAGAACUCAGAAACUGGGAUUAUAGUCUACUCCAAUCAUUAACCAUUGUUUUUGUUUUGUUUCUCUAGAAACGCCUUUUAUCAAAUACCUGAUUGCUUGUGCAAUGUAGUCCUAACUUUGGGAGCCCAUCUGCAUCAUUGCCUCCUAAAAUGAGUUCAACCCAGCUGACCUAUUCUCAGGACUAAGAAACUGGUUCGAUGAAAUAGUGGAGCAAUCUACCACCUCAAUUUCAACAUGUGAAACUUCCAAGGAAGUUCCAGAGGAGAGAACUAAUAGAGUUCAUGGUAGGCCAUCCCAAAAUAUGACACUUUGGCAUAUUGGUUAUUUUGAAUUAAAGUUACUUGAGAAACAGCCAGUGCAAGAAGAACACUCUGACCCUCCUUUGUUCCCCUGAAACCAGGAAACAAACACCCAUGGGAAAGUAUUCUCCCUAUAUCAGGAGGAUGGAGGGCAUCCUUAUCACCCGAGAUAGGGAACUCGGAGCAGAGGAAGCUAUAUAAGUAAAUUUUGUUACCUCCUCAUUAAUUUGCUACUCCAAGCCCAAACUCCCUUAUUUUGUCAAAUAUUCACCAAUAAUUGUUUCUUUGUCUAAAUGGUAUAUAAACAGCCUGCUUUGGUCAUUUCCUUGAGCACUCUAUUGUUAUGAUCUCCCAUAUGUAUGUAUUAAAUUGGUUUUCUUCUCAUUAUUCUACCUUGUAUUAAUUUUAUUAUUAGUCCAACCAUAAGAACUCUAGGGGUAAGGGGAAUACUUCCUCCCUACCCCCCGCUA
rnacentral:lncRNA from 1 species